rnacentral:rRNA from 1 species
CCUACGGGUGGCAGCAGUGAGGAAUAUUGGUCAAUGGACGGAAGACUGAACCAGCCAUGCCGCGUGAAGGAAGAAGGCACUAUGAGUUGUAAACUGCUUUUGUACAAGGGUAAACCUGAAUACGUGUAUUCAGCUGAAAGUACUGUACGAAUAAGCAUCGGCUAACUCCGUGCCAGCAGCCGCGGUAAUACGGAGGAUCCGAGCGUUAUCCGGAUUUAUUGGGUUUAAAGGGUGCGUAGGCGGAUUGAUAAGUUAGCGGUGAAAGGUCCGAGCUUAACUCGGGAACUGCCUCUAAUACUGGUGAUCUAGAGAGUAGGUGCGGUAGGCGGAAUGUAUGGUGUAGCGGUGAAAUGCUUAGAGAUCAUGCAGAACACCGAUUGCGAAGGCAGCUUACCAAUCUAUAUCUGACGUUGAGGCACGAAAGCGUGGGGAGCAAACAGGAUUAGAUACCCCAGUAGUC